AAUAGAUACCCAGGUAGUCCAUGCCGUAAACGUUGGGCACUAGGUGUGGGGGACAUUCCACGUUUUCCGCGCCGUAGCUAACGCAUUAAGUGCCCCGCCUGGGGAGUACGGCCGCAAGGCUAAAACUCAAAGGAAUUGACGGGGGCCCGCACAAGCGGCGGAGCAUGCGGAUUAAUUCGAUGCAACGCGAAGAACCUUACCAAGGCUUGACAUGGACCGGACCGCCGCAGAAAUGUGGUUUCCCCUUUGGGGCCGGUUUACAGGUGGUGCAUGGUUGUCGUCAGCUCGUGUCGUGAGAUGUUGGGUUAAGUCCCGCAACGAGCGCAACCCUCGUUCUAUGUUGCCAGCGGUUCGGCCGGGGACUCAUAGGAGACUGCCGGGGUCAACUCGGAGGAAGGUGGGGACGACGUCAAAUCAUCAUGCCCCUUAUGUCUUGGGCUUCACGCAUGCUACAAUGGCCGGUACAAAGGGUUGCGAUACUGUGAGGUGGAGCUAAUCCCAAAAGCCGGUCCCAGUUCGGAUUGGGGUCUGCAACUCGACCCCAUGAAGUCGGAGUCGC
rnacentral:rRNA from 1 species